rnacentral:rRNA from 1 species
CACGUAGGGGGCGAGCGUUGUCCGGAUUUAUUGGGCGUAAAGAGCUCGUAGGCGGUUCUGCAAGUCGGGUGUGAAAUUUCGAGGCUCAACCUCGAAACGCCACUCGAUACUGCUGUGACUGGAGUCCGGUAGAGGAGUGCGGAAUUCCUGGUGUAGCGGUGAAAUGCGCAGAUAUCAGGAGGAACACCAACGGCGAAGGCAGCACUCUGGGCCGGUACUGACGCUGAGGAGCGAAAGCGUGGGGAGCAAACAGG